UAGAGUUUGAUCCUGGCUCAGAACGAACGCUGGCGGCGUGCUUAAGACAUGCAAGUCGAACGGUAAGGCACCUUCGGGUGUACACGAGUGGCGCACGGGUGAGUAACGCGUGGGUAAUCUGCCCUCACGUCUGGGACAACUCCGGGAAACUGGAGCUAAUACCGGAUGAGACCACGGGGUCUGCGGACUCCGCGGCCAAAGAUGGCCUCUUCUUGAAAGCUAUCGCCCGUUGAUGAGCCCGCGUCCCAUUAGCUUGUUGGUGAGGUAACGGCUCACCAAGGCUUCGAUGGGUAGCUGGUCUGAGAGGAUGAUCAGCCACACUGGAACUGAGACACGGUCCAGACUCCUACGGGAGGCAGCAGUCGGGAAUUUUGGGCAAUGGGCGAAAGCCUGACCCAGCAACGCCGCGUGAGGGAUGAAGGCCCUCGGGUCGUAAACCUCUGUCGAGAGGGAAGAAAGGUAGCCGGGCGAAUAGGCCGGCUGCCUGACGGUACCUCCAAAGGAAGCACCGGCUAACUCCGUGCCAGCAGCCGCGGUAAUACGGAGGGCACAAGCGUUGUUCGGAAUCACUGGGCGUAAAGCGCGUGUAGGCGGCCAGGCAAGUCGGUUGUGAAAUCCCGAGGCCCAACCUCGGAACUGCAACCGAAACUGCCUGGCUAGAGUUCCGGAGAGGAAGGCAGAAUUCCCGGUGUAGAGGUGAAAUUCGUAGAUAUCGGGAGGAAUACCAGUGGCGAAGGCGGCCUUCUGGACGGCGACUGACGCUGAGACGCGAAAGCGUGGGGAGCAAACAGGAUUAGAUACCCUGGUAGUCCACGCCGUAAACGUUGGGUGCUAGACGUCGGGGGUAUUGACCCCUCCGGUGUCGAAGCUAACGCAUGAAGCACCCCGCCUGCGGAGUACGGUCGCAAGACUAAAACCCAAAGGAAUUGACGGGGGCCCGCACAAGCGGUGGAGCAUGUGGUUUAAUUCGAAGCAACGCGCAGAACCUUACCUGGACUUGACAUGCUAGGAUGCACCCGUGAAAGCGGGCUAUGCUGCCUUUAGUGAAACUAGCACAGGUGCUGCAUGGCUGUCGUCAGCUCGUGCUGUGAAGUGUCGGGUUAAGUCCCUUAACGAGCGGAACCCUUAUCGUUAGUUACCAGCGGGUCAUGCCGGGGACUCUAGCGAGACUGCCGGCGACAAGCCGGAGGAAGGUGGGGACGACGUCAAGUCAUCAUGGCCUUUAUGCCCAGGGUGUCACACGUGCUACAAUGGCGGCUACCAGAGCGACGCAAUACCGUGAGGUGGAGCAAAUCGCAGAAAGGCCGCCCAAGUUCGGAUUGGAGUCUGCAAUUCGACUCCAUGAAGUUGGAAUCGCUAGUAAUCGCGUAUCAGCCACGACGCGGUGAAUAUGUUCCUGAGCCUUGUACACACCGCCCGUCACACCACGAAAGUGGGCAACACCCGAAGCCGGUGGCCCAACCCUUGUGGAGGGAGCCGUCGAAGGUGGGGCUCGCGAUUGGGGUGAAGUCGUAACAAGGUAACCGUA
rnacentral:rRNA from 1 species